rnacentral:rRNA from 1 species
GUUGUAUGGUUAAGUGACUAAGCGUACACGGUGGAUGCCUUGGCAGUCAGAGGCGAUGAAAGACGUAGUAACUUGCGAUAAGCCCAGAUUAGGUAGUAACAACCAUUUGAGUCUGGGAUUUCUGAAUGGGGAAACCCACGUGCAUAAGCACGUAUCCUUACCUGAAUACAUAGGGUAAGGAGGCGAACCGGGGGAACUGAAACAUCUAAGUACCCCGAGGAAAAGAAAUCAACCGAGAUUCCGAAAGUAGCGGCGAGCGAAAUUGGACUAGCCCUUAAGCUUUACACGCGUUAGACGAACGGUCUGGAAAGUCCGACGAUACAGGGUGAUAGUCCCGUAGUUGACGACGUGUGUUCAGUGAAAUCGAGUAGGGCGGGACACGUGAUAUCCUGUCUGAAUAUGGGGGGACCAUCCUCCAAGGCUAAAUACUACUGACUGACCGAUAGUGAACCAGUACCGUGAGGGAAAGGCGAAAAGAACCCCUGUGAGGGGAGUGAAAUAGAACCUGAAACCGUGUACGUACAAGCAGUAGGAGCAGGCUUUGUCCUGUGACUGCGUACCUUUUGUAUAAUGGGUCAGCGACUUAUAUUCAGUGGCAAGGUUAACCAUCUAGGGGAGCCGUAGGGAAACCGAGUCUUAACUGGGCGUUCAGUCUCUGGAUAUAGACCCGAAACCAGGUGAUCUAGCCAUGGGCAGGUUGAAGGUUGAGUAACAUCAACUGGAGGACCGAACCGACUAAUGUUGAAAAAUUAGCGGAUGACUUGUGGCUAGGGGUGAAAGGCCAAUCAAACCUGGAGAUAGCUGGUUCUCCCCGAAAGCUAUUUAGGUAGCGCCUCGGACGAAUACUACUGGGGGUAGAGCACUGUUAAGGCUAGGGGGUCAUCCCGACUUACCAACCCUUUGCAAACUCCGAAUACCAGUAAGUACUAUCCGGGAGACACACGGCGGGUGCUAACGUCCGUCGUGGAGAGGGAAACAACCCAGACCGCCAGCUAAGGUCCCAAAUUACUACUAAGUGGGAAACGAUGUGGGAAGGCUCAGACAGCCAGGAUGUUGGCUUAGAAGCAGCCAUCAUUUAAAGAAAGCGUAAUAGCUCACUGGUCGAGUCGGCCUGCGCGGAAGAUGUAACGGGGCUAAGUAGUAAACCGAAGCUGCGGCAAUAUACUUUUGUAUAUUGGGUAGGGGAGCGUUCUGUAAGCGGUUGAAGGUGUGUGGUAACGCAUGCUGGACGUAUCAGAAGUGCGAAUGCUGACAUGAGUAACGAUAAAGGGGGUGAAAAACCUCCUCGCCGGAAGACCAAGGGUUCCUGUCCAACGUUAAUCGGGGCAGGGUAAGUCGACCCCUAAGGCGAGGCCGAAAGGCGUAGUCGAUGGGAAACGGGUUAAUAUUCCCGUACUUCUUACAAUUGCGAUGGGGGGACGGAGAAGGCUAGGUGGGCCUGGCGACGGUUGUCCAGGUUCAAGUGCGUAGGCUUAAGAGUUAGGUAAAUCCGGCUCUUU